rnacentral:snRNA from 1 species
AUCUUUGCGCUUGGGGCAAUGACGCAGCUUAUGAGGUUAUAUCCGAGGCGCGUCUAUUGCUGGUUGAAAACUAUUUCCAAACCCCCUCUCUGGCCCACGAUCCUGGGCCACUGAGAAUUUCUGGAAGGGCUCUUUCUCUUCGGAGAGAGUAAAGCCCUAUAAUU